rnacentral:tRNA from 1 species
AAAAAGAUAAGCUAAUUAAGCUAUUGGGCUCAUACCUCAUUUAUAAAGGUUAUACUCCUUUUCUUUUUA